AGGAGAGGAGACCUUUCCUGGCGUCAGAGUGCAGUGAACUUCCUAAAGCUGAGAAAUGGAGACGACAGAUCAUCAGUGAGAUCUCAAAGAAAGUUGCUCAGAUCCAGAACGCGGGUCUGGGGGAGUUCAGGAUUCGGGAUCUGAACGAUGAGAUCAACAAGCUGCUGAGGGAGAAAGGUCACUGGGAGGUCAGGAUCAGAGAGCUGGGAGGACCCGACUACGCCGUAAAUAUCACUCUCAUUG